UACGUAGGGGGCAAGCGUUGUCCGGAAUUAUUGGGCGUAAAGAGCUUGUAGGCGGUUUGUCGCGUCUGCUGUGAAAUUUCGGGGCUCAACCCCGAACUUGCAGUGGGUACGGGCAGACUGGAGUGUGGUAGGGGAGACUGGAAUUCCUGGUGUAGCGGUGAAAUGCGCAGAUAUCAGGAGGAACACCGAUGGCGAAGGCAGGUCUCUGGGCCACUACUGACGCUGAGAAGCGAAAGCAUGGGGAGCGAACAGG
rnacentral:rRNA from 1 species